UUCACGACAACACUGGCCAAAAAAUGACGCGAAGCGCAAGACCAAAUGGUGAGCUGCCCGCUCUCUGCGGCUCCCUCCCACGGCAGCCCCGCUCGCACGCCGCGGCUGUCCUCUCGCCUCGUCUGUCCAACUCCACUCCGCUGGAUGCACCCGCCUGACCGCGUCCCGUCGUCACCAACUCCCUCCUCAAGCUCUACUGCGCACUUGGCCUCCUGCCCCACGCGCGCAAGGUGUUCGACCCGGGCGCCGCCUCAUGGUGCCCGGGCAUGGGCGCAUGGCAAGAGCGGCGACCUGCCGGCGCCGCGGCAAGUGUUUGCAAGAAUGCCGGAGCGGAAUCUGGUGUUGUCUUGGAGCGCGAUGGUCGAGUAGUCGACGCGCUUGUGCGUGCAGGGGAGCGAGCUCGAGGAGGCGCUGCAUGCGUUUGAUCGGAUGAUGGGGGAGGGUUUCAAGCCGGGUGUACUGGUGCUGGUGACCGUGCUCCCGUCUUGGUGUCGUCGAGUGUGGUUGGUGCCUUGGUGGGUCCAUCGGUAUCUGGAGAUGGGGGGCUUGCAGGGAGGCAAAGGAAUGUCAUGGUUGAGGCCGCGCCGGUGGACAUGUACUGCAAGUGUGGGUGCGCGGAGGAGGGGUGGUGUGUUUUUGACUGCGUUCACCGCCGUGAAGUUGUGCUGUGGAAUUCAGUGACCGAAGAGCUUGCAGUGAAUGGCCAUGGUGAGCGUGCACUUGAGUUGUUCCAAAGGAUGCUUGAAAAGGGGUUUGUGCGUAAUCAGUCGUUUAUUGCUGCUUUGUGCAGCGUGCACCCACACAAGUCGUGUGGAUGAACGGAAAAUUUUCCAGUCAAUGCGGCACCAUGGAGGGCUUGCAAUGAUCUAGGCACUAUGCGUGUCCAGCUGAUCUCCUUGGGCGUGCAGGAGGCUGAAACUGUGUCUUGGAUAUACCAACGGAGACAUGUGCAUUGCACACAUGGUGGAUGUUAUGCCUUUCUGCUCAACUUGUAGGAAGUCAAUGGUCGAUGGGAAGAUGCAAGAGCCAUUGGGCAGAAGAUGGUGGAGCAGGGAGCCAACAAAGAGGAAGAUUUGAGCUUAAUGGAGUGAAAUGGUUGAUUCCAUGAGUUACGCCCCGGAAAAUGCAGAUCUAUGCACUGUCAGAAGAUAAUAAUAUCUCCUACUGGUGUAAGUGCUUGUGAGUGUGCAAGAGAAAAAGAAGGAUCUGCCUCGAGCCCUCAACGUCUGACAGCAGUGCCUUUUCUGUCAACUGGCUAUCUACGGCGGCUUCAUGUUCUCCGGUGGCAAGAACGCAAGCUUGCCACAGGAAGCCCAUCACGCUUCUUCUGCACAUGUUAGUGUUUAUUCUUCUGCUCCGAUUACUACUCACAGCGAUUGCUGGCGCUGUUCAACAGCAACUUAUUCUUGCCAUAAGGAAGAACCUGAAGGAGAGGACAGGCAGGUAGAUGCUGAUGCUUAUUUCGCUUUGCCUUUCGUUUUUUUGGCUGCAAGACUUUCUUGGCUUCGACGUUUUUCUUCUAAUACAGAAUGAUGCGCACUUUCCAGCUGCAUAUUCUAGUAGAAAAAAUAAAAGAUCCUUUCUCCUGCCAUCCUUGUGAUCCGCAUGGGACUUUCAUUUUUGAAGUGUGCCUUUUCUUAAUCAGCUGAGUGGUGUUUUGUCUCUUGAGUUUCCAUUUAAUCUCUGACGCAUUAGGCCAAAUUGUUUAAUGGGCCUCGUGCAGUCCUGAAGGGCCAGUUGACGCACGGAUCACGAGCCGGGAAAAAAUAUGUAUGAUAACUCUAGCUGGAGAUAUUUUAUGAAAUAAAUAAUUAAGUGCGUGACUCAUCACUCUGUACAGGGUCUGACGCCAUGAAGGCAAAGCAAGCACGAUGUACAUGGCAGUUGGGCAUGCCUAUACUUGUGAACUAUUUAUUUGGCUUGGAUGAAGAUGAAGUUGAGGCUAGUUGACUUGUGGGCUAUUUAUUUGACCUGGAUGAAGAUGGGGUUGAGGAGAGUUGGCAUAAAUCCAAGAAGAUAGAUACAUGGGUGCCACUGCUUUCUUGUACAUCUUGCUGUCCCUCUGGGUUCAGGAUGCAGCUGCCAUUCUUGGCUUCACAAGAAGUGAUUUUCCGCAGGACUUCGUAUUUGGAUCUGGAACCUCAGCAUAUCAAUAUGAGGGUGCUGUUGCUGAGGAUGGUAGGAGGCCAAGCUUUUGGGACACUUUCACUCAUGCAGGUAAAAUGCCAGACCAAAGCACAGGAGAUGUUACUGCAGAUGGGUACCAUAAAUACAAGGUAAAUGAUAAGAGCAAAAUGUUCUGCUGGUGUUUCUCUGUGUUGCAUCAACUGUAGUAAUACAAGGUGUGGGGUCUGCCAACGAUAGCCUUGAUGAUACUUACAGGGUCGAUUACCUGAGCAGCUACAUGGGAAGCACGCUAGAUGCAAUAAGGAAUGGGGUUAAUGUGAGGGGUUAUUUCGCCUGGGCACUCAUGGAUCUAUUCGAGCUCCUGGCAGGAUACGAGUCCAAGUACGGCCUGUACCGCAUAGAUUUUGAUGACGAAAGGAGGCCACGGCAAGCCAGGCUCUCUGCUCGCUGGUACUCCGGCUUCCUGAAAAAGAAUGGAUCCUCUAUUCGAGUAUCAAGGGUGCAGGAGGACCUGAGGUUGACGACCGUCUUCUAAUUUGGUGCUCGGGCGUCACAUGUAUGUAUGCACGCACCUGUCGAAGUUUAACAAAAGGCCACUCUAUUGAGCA